UACAGAGGUCUCAAGCGUUGCUCGGAAUCACUGGGCGUAAAGGGCGCGUAGGCGGGAUGGCAAGUCGGUCGUGAAAUCCUUCGGCUCAACCGAAGAACGUCGGCCGAUACUGCCGUUCUUGAGGGAUGCAGAGGAGAUUGGAAUUCCCGGUGUAGCGGUGAAAUGUGUAGAGAUCGGGAGGAACACCGGUGGCGAAGGCGGGUCUCUGGGCAUUUCCUGACGCUGAGGCGCGAAAGCGUGGGGAGCAAACGGG
rnacentral:rRNA from 1 species